rnacentral:lncRNA from 1 species
GGGAAUUGCUCCUCAGAAAUGUGUUCCUAAGUUGUGUUUUCAACUUUACAUCAUGAGGUGAAGCAUUAGGGAAAGAGAUUCUUUCGAUUUGUUUAAUAAUCUAAUUAUACAGACCAAAGUGCUUUACGUUUCUGCUCUAUGUUAAUGUUUUAGAAUGGUGAUUUUGCUGAUUAAUUUAGACCUGGAAUUGAAAUAAUGUGCUCAGAAUAAUAACAUGGUUAUAGUUCUUGUAUGAUAAAGUAUUCAAUUUCAGAAUAGUGUUGGAAUCCUGAGUUUGAAUAAUGUGUUGUAUUUAGAAACAUAGCCCUAUCUGUUUUAAACAAAUAAUUUGUUGGCUGAUUGUCCAUGGUUGAGCAUGACAAAAAUACCUCGUCGAAAGGCAAGCUUAGGUAACUGCUGGCAAAACACUGGGUGCACUAUUUUUCUG